CCUCUUUCCGUUUCUACUUCUUCCAAACUUUUACUUAUUCUCAUGUCUUUUUCCUGCCUCGCCUAUUCUUACAUUCUCUCUCCUCGCUUCCCCUCGAUCCGUACUCCAUGUGCGUAAAUCUCUUUAAGCGCAAUCCGUUUUUCUUCCCAAGCUCAAGCCCAAUCCCGAGCUAAAACCAAACUGAAAUUUCUUUACUCCCUUUUACUUCUUUAAAGCAAUUCUCUUCUUUCUUCUUCAUACCCUUCGGAACCUCUUCUUCUUGAAAUUCCCUUGUUUACUCUUCAUUCUUUCAAAUUACCAAGUUGACUAGUUGCCAUUGCCGCAAUCCUUUUACUAUUCGGAGUGCCUGCAACCGAUCUCGCAAAACUCGCUUUCUUUGUUCGUAAUCUCCAAACUCCGCUCUUGUUACUUUGACCGUUGAAGUGUGCAUCGCUUCCAUUCGUGUAGCACAUGAUAAGCUAUCACUUUACUCGAUGCUUUGUACUCUUUAUCCCUGGUACCUCCUCUACUUCAAAUCUUUCCCAUUUACCGUUACUCCAUACACCCUAGGAGGAUCGUUGUCACAUUGAUUUACAGGGUUUAUCAAGGAGUCAUCGUUACCCUUUGUUGCUUGUUUGCUUGCUUGUUUGAGUGCUAGCCAUGCUGGGAUUAGCAUGACUCAAUCCAAUCGCUGGUUGUAUUGUUGAUUUUCUUUGUUUGAAAAUGGAGCA